rnacentral:rRNA from 1 species
AGCAGUGAAGUAUGUCGUUUAAUUCGAUAAUCCACGAAAAAUCUUACCGUAAUUUGAAUAGAUUAAAAAGAGAAUAUUUUUAAUUUUACAGGAGUUGCACGGCUGUUUCCAGUUAAUAUUGUGAAAUUAAGUGAUAAAUUAACGAAAUCCCUCGCUUUAUUUUU